rnacentral:lncRNA from 1 species
AGUUUUUCUACAGGGAGACAUUUGAAAGGGACUCGCUCUCACAAAUGGUCUUUGGGGUAUGGCAAGCUUAGUGGGAGACGAAAUUCUGCCUCCGAUUCGGAGGACCUCCCUGGUGGAAACUCAGCGAGGACAGACCAUCUGGUAGGGGAGGGCUGGGGCUACUAGAGGUGGGAGAGCGAGGGGUCCUGGAAGGGGAGUAGUGUCGUGCUCCCCACCUCACACAUACACAAACACAAAGAUCCGAAGGAUGUGGGAAAGGAAGGUCCUCGUAAGCUUCAAGAGAGCAAGACUUUGGUGGUUCAAACCCAGGCUCUGUCACUAGUUAGCUUUGUGUGCUUGGAUUGGAACCAGUCCAGUUGUCAUCUGAGAGGCUUCCUCCAUCAUGGAGGAGAUGGAGAUAGAACAACCACUGUCAGGUGGAAUACUAUGAGCUCCAGAUUCAGGAAGCCAAGACGGGAGUGUUGUGCCUGGGAAAAUUAGGACAACCCUGACUCAAAGAAACAAAAGAAACUGAAGCAAGAGGACAAACAGCAAAACAGCAUGCAUGUAAAACAGUCCCUGUCUGGAUGGACCUGCGCCUGCAGCGGGAAGUUCACUGGUCAAUUACCUGCUGACUGAAGCGGCCUAUUUUCUUCUGACCCCUGCCCCUCUCUUCCCCUCUCCGCCCUGAAAGCUGUUUGGCAUAGGGAGGUCUUGACCUGAGGAAACCAUUUUGGGUAACCAGGGCAAGGAAGGGGAAUAUGCAACACCUAGGAGAUUUCAGCAAACAGUAGAAUCAUGCCAACGUAAUCUGUGUUAAAAUGCUUGGAAUGUGGGAGCCGCUGGUGAUGUCUGUUGUCUGUGUGUCUCCAGGAAUCCUUUCUUUUUUAAGCGCAGCAAAGCCAAGCCUGGGAACCAGGCCAAGCGCCUGCCACUUACCUUAAAUUGAUCAGCCACUUUGAGAUUAAAACCCCUGAAAGCUGCCGCUCAGUGAAAGCAAGGCCUCUUUCACAUUAAAGGCAAAUUGCGACUGUG